AUCUAAUAUGGUAUUCUGGUCGUUUAUGCAGCUAAAGAAAAUGUGCAAGGAGGGCGCAUAUUGGGGUGCUGUUGCUGGAGUGUAUGUAGGCAUGGAGUAUGGAGUGGAAAGGGUCCGCGGAGAGUAUGACUGG